rnacentral:rRNA from 1 species
GGCCUUUAGCCCACCAAGUAUUAAAGGUCCCGCCUGCCCAGUGAGCUCCCCGUUCAACGGCCGCGGUAUUAUAACCGUGCAAAGGUAGCGUAAUCACUUGUCUCCUAAAUAGAGACCCGUAUGAACGACUAGAUGAGGACAUACCUGUCUCCUGCGGCCAAUCAAUAAAACUGAUCUUUCAGUACAAAAGCUGAUAUAAUACCAUAAGACGAGAAGACCCUGUGGAGCUUAAAACACCCCCACUAACCAGCAGCCCCUGCCAUCUCCGGAUGUUCAUCAAUGCAAAUAGUAAGAAGUUUUAAGUUGGGGCGACUGUGGAAUACAAUAGACCUUCCACGUAUCAAGGCUAACCGCCAACUAAGGCCUACAAGCCAAAAACUUGACCCAGCAGCAAGCUGAUCAACGAACCAAGUUACCCCAGGGAUAACAGCGCUAUCCCCUUUAAGAGUUCCUAUCGACAGGGGGGCUUACGACCUCGAUGUUGGAUCAGGACACCCCGGUGGUGCAGCCACUACCAAAGGUUCGUUUGUUCAACGAUUAAAGUCCU